rnacentral:rRNA from 1 species
GACGAACGCUGGCGGCGUGCUUAACACAUGCAAGUCGAACGGUGAAGCACCUUCCUUUUGGUGGGUGUGGAUGAGUGGCGAACGGGUGAGUAACACGUGAGUAACCUGCCCCCUUCUUCUGGAUAACCGCAUGAAAGUGUGGCUAAUACGGGAUAUUCUGUGCCUGCUGCAUGGUGGGUGUGGGAAAGAUGCGCUUUUGGGUGUUUUUGGUGGGGGAUGGGCUCGCGGCCUAUCAGCUUGUUGGUGGGGUGAUGGCCUACCAAGGCGGUGACGGGUAGCCGGCCUGGGAGGGUGGACGGUCACACUGGAGCUGAGACACGGCCCAGACUCCUACGGGAGGCAGCAGUGGGGAAUAUUGCACAAUGGGCGCAAGCCUGAUGCAGCGACGCCGCGUGAGGGAUGGAGGCCUUCGGGUUGUAAACCUCUUUCGCCAGUGAAGCAGGCCUGUCCCUUGUGGGUGGGUUGACGGUAGCUGGAUAAGAAGCGCCGGCUAACUACGUG